rnacentral:ncRNA from 3 species
CAAUACAGGACUCUUUCGAGGCCCUGUAAUUG